rnacentral:rRNA from 1 species
AAAAUGACUCUCGACAACUGAUAUCUCGGCUCUCGCAUCGAUGAAGAACGUAGUGAAAUGUGAUACUUGGUGUGAAUUACAAAAUCUCGUGAACCAUCGAGUUUUUGAAUGCAAGUUACACCCAAAACUAUUAGCCUAAGGGCACGUCUACCUGGGCAUCACGCAUCACGUCGCCCC